CCAAAAGCUAGUGAAACUUCCAUCCCAGGCUCACCAGAGUUUGAAGACUUGCAUUCAGGAUGGCUGAUCCUCGGUGCGGGUUCUCCGCCAGGCUUGGUCCCUCCUGCGGGCCACCCUUCCUAGCUGGACGGUCUCCGUGACGUGGAGCUGAGCAGUUGUCCGUGGCUGAGCCAAGUUAUUUCGGGCUGCAGUGUGGAGUGCUGUGUACACACCCCGACAAAGGACAUCAAACAGAUCUGUGAACCGUGGUUGUGAUGGGAGCUAAUUAGCAUUUCAUAACAUUCAGCGGGGGAGAAAAAGCAAUGACACUUCAGAGCAAAUAAAACCCAUUUGCAAAUUUAA